CCUACGGGUGGCAGCAGUGAGGAAUAUUGGUCAAUGGGCGCGAGCCUGAACCAGCCAAGUCGCGUGAGGGAAGACGGUCCUAUGGAUUGUAAACUUCUGUCGCGAGGGAUGAAGAAUGACGGUACCUCGUAAGAAAGCCCCGGCAAACUACGUGCCAGCAGCCGCGGUAAUACGUAGGGGGCGAGCGUUGUCCGGAAUGACUGGGCGUAAAGGGAGUGUAGGCGGCAUAUUAAGUUAUGUGUGAAAGCCCGCGGCUCAACCGCUGAAUUGCACAUAAAACUGGUAAGCUGGAGUGCAGGAGAGGUAAGUGGAAUUCCCGGUGUAGCGGUGGAAUGCGUAGAUAUCGGGAGGAACACCAGAGGCGAAGGCGACUUACUGGACUGUAACUGACGCUGAGGCUCGAAAGCGUGGGGAGCAAACAGGAUUAGAUACCCCAGUAGUC
rnacentral:rRNA from 1 species